UGGUUGUUGCCCCGCGCCUGUUGAACUGCCCUACAGACUCGCUGUUCUAGGCCCGGCGCCCGCCCAAAAAACCCUACGGACCUCCCUCCCGGGCCUCAACUCGUGACGCUGGUCAGGGGUUCUGGGGUCAGACGCAACCCAGCCGGGCGGGGAGGGCGGUCGGCUCGGAAGAGGUUUCUUUUUUCGUAGACGAUCACGUGGGCAGGGGAACCAGUCUUCGGGGAGCGCCUGCGAGGCCCGCUGACCGCAUCCAAGUUGUCCUAGCCGCUCAGGCUCCUAUCUCCUGGUCCAGGGGUGGCCGUAGCCCGCCUCGGACGGCCGACAGGAGGACCCCGGCCGGGGUAGACGGACUCUGGGCCGUCCUGGAACUGAGAGAGGCGCCCUGGUCAGGGCUUGUUGCUUGCCUUUGGUCAGCAGCCUCUGGCUCCUCCCUGCCCCCAGCAAGCCAAUGGAGCUCCAGAAUCACCUGCAUUUCUGUGGACCAACAAAGGCCCCAUCUUGGCUGCUGGGCAUUUGUGCUCCCUGAAGGCAUGUCCCGGUGAGGCACUGACAGAAGGGCUGGGUCAUCAGGCCAGCUCGGGAGGGUAGGAAGAACCCUAAUGGGCCAUGGACCAAAUGAGUGCAUUGUGCUGCUAAAAAUCUGUAGCAGUCUUUUCCAAUUUGCAGAAAAAUUAAUGGGCUUUUCAUAAAGGUUUGGUACCUGA